rnacentral:rRNA from 1 species
GACGGAGGAUGCAAGUGUUAUCCGGAAUCACUGGGCGUAAAGGGCGCGUAGGUGGCGACCCAAGUCGAUGGUGAAAGCUCGCCGCUCAACGGCGAGUCGGCCACCGAUACUGGGUUGCUGGAGCACUGUAGAGGCUCAUGGAAUUCCGGGUGUAGCGGUGGAAUGCGUAGAGAUCCGGAAGAACACCGGUGGCGAAGGCGGCUCACUGGACUGGUAUUGACGCUGAGGUACGAAAGCGUGGGGAGCAAACAGG